CGCGUAAAGAACUUGCCUCACAGCUAGGGACAACAUUUGGAAACGAAUGCUAAUACCUGAUAUUAUGAUUUUAGGGCAUCCUAGAAUUAUGAAAGCUAUAUGCGCUGUGAGAGAGCUUUGCGUCCCAUUAGCUAGUUGGAGAGGUAACGGCUCACCAAGGCGAUGAUGGGUAGCCGGCCUGAGAGGGUGAUCGGCCACAAGGGGACUGAGACACGGCCCUU
rnacentral:rRNA from 1 species